rnacentral:rRNA from 1 species
CCUACGGGUGGCAGCAGUGAGGAAUAUUGGUCAAUGGACGGGAGUCUGAACCAGCCAAGUCGCGUGAAGGAUGACUGCCCUAUGGGUUGUAAACUUCUUUUAUCUGGGAAUAAAAUGUUCCACGUGUGGGAUUUUGCAUGUACCAUAUGAAUAAGGAUCGGCUAACUCCGUGCCAGCAGCCGCGGUAAUACGGAGGAUCCGAGCGUUAUCCGGAUUUAUUGGGGUUAAAGGGAGCGUAGGUGGAUUGUUAAGUCAGUUGUGAAAGUUUGCGGCUCAACCGUCAAAUUGCAGUUGAAACUGGCAGUCGUGAGUACAGGAGAGGUGGGCGGAAGGCGCGGUGUAGCGGUGAAAUGCUUAGAUAUCACGAAGAACUCCGAUUGCGAAGGCAGUUCACUGGACUGCAACUGACACUGAGGCUCGAAAGCGUGGGUAUCAAACAGGAUUAGAUACCCCAGUAGUC